UCCGUAGGUGAACCUGCGGAGGGAUCAUUACCGAGUUUACAACUCCCAAACCCCUGUGAACAUACCUUAAUGUUGCCUCGGCGGAUCAGCCCGCGCCCCGUAAAACGGGACGGCCCGCCAGAGGACCCAAACUCUAAUGUUUCUUAUUGUAACUUCUGAGUAAAACAAACAAAUAAAUCAAAACUUUCAACAACGGAUCUCUUGGUUCUGGCAUCGAUGAAGAACGCAGCAAAAUGCGAUAAGUAAUGUGAAUUGCAGAAUUCAGUGAAUCAUCGAAUCUUUGAACGCACAUUGCGCCCGCUGGUAUUCCGGCGGGCAUGCCUGUUCGAGCGUCAUUUCAACCCUCAAGCCCCCGGGUUUGGUGUUGGGGAUCGGCUCUGCCUUCUGGCGGUGCCGCCCCCGAAAUACAUUGGCGGUCUCGCUGCAGCCUCCAUUGCGUAGUAGCUAACACCUCGCAACUGGAACGCGGCGCGGCCAUGCCGUAAAACCCCAACUUCUGAAUGUGACCUCGGAUCAGGUA
rnacentral:rRNA from 1 species